GCAGUCAUGGCUCAGUGGUAGAGCAUUUGCUUUGUAUGCAAGAAGUGAUGUCCCAGGUUUAAUCCCUCACAUGUCUGGA
rnacentral:tRNA from 1 species